GAGUGGUGGCUGGGUAUGGAGGCGAAGGCGGCACCCAAGCCAGCUGCAAGCGGCGCGUGCUCGGUGUCGGCAGAGGAGACCGAAAAGUGGAUGGAGGAGGCGAUGCACAUGGAAAUAUUUCUUUAAGGACUCAUCAAACUGUGUGCAAACAAGCAGUGGAAGGCAUUUCAGGAAAAAAAACUGUGUUACUCAAAAUAAACAUGAAGAUAAUAUUGAGAGGAGUGAAAUGAAAUAAAUUUGCUAGACGGAAAAAGAGAAAAAUCCAAAGGAAGGAAUGGAAGGCACAAACCCAGUAACAUGGUGGCGUGGGUGCUAUCUCCAGGUGAACAAGACAGAACUUGCAGGCAACAUGGAAUCUCAUCUCCCAUCCCACUCACGUCCUUUCCACUCGGCCCUGCAUUCUCUUCUGCAGGUUUGAGAUGGCCCACAUAGCCAAUGUAGAGCUCUUCAGGAGAUAUUUUUACAGAAAAUCCUGAUCACAUGGCCUCCAUUUGUUUAUUCUCUUGCCGUUUUUGUUUUUUUUUUUAACUUUUUUUUUUUUUAAGACAGAGUUUCACUUUGUCGCCCAGGCUGGAAUGCAAUGGCACAAUCUGGGCUCACUGCAACCUCCGCCUCCUGGGUUCAAGCGAUUCUCAUGCCUCAGCCUCCCAAGUAGCUAGGAUUACAGGCACCCAUCACCAUGCCCAGCUAAUUUUUGUAUUUUUAGUAGAGAUGGGGUUUCACAAUAUUGGCCAGGCUGGUCUCAAACUCCUGACCUAAGAUGAUCCACCUGCCUUGGCCUCCUAAAGUGCUGGGAUUACAGGCAUGGGCCACUGUGCUCAGCCUAUUUUUUACUUUUUUUAGAGAUGGGGUCUUGCUGUGUUACCCAGGCUGGAGUGUAGUGGCAUGAUCAUAGCUCACUACAGCCUUGAACUCCUCUUGCCAUUUUUUUUAUCCUUAAAAUUUCCAUGUCUCACUCUCUUGCCAACUGUUCUCUCUCAUUUGGUCCCUUGAUUCACUCUAAACUCAAACCCUGAUAAAGCAGCUGAUCGGUGAAGUGUCUGUUGUUACUAAAGUAGAAGUUAGAGGCAGAACAGUGGCAGAGAGCCCUGGAAUCUGGCCCUUGGUAG
rnacentral:lncRNA from 1 species